CUCCUUGCCAACCAGCAGCUCCCUUGGUAGGGGCAUGCAGAAGACCUGAUGACACAAACCCUCCAAAGAGUUUCACCCUCACCACAACAGGUGGCUUCCUGCUCGGCAGCCCAUCCUGCAUCACUUCAGUGGACUUCUCUGACAUCUACUAGACCACAUUAAAUGAAUCACAGCCUUGAAACUGAACUGGAAGGACUUCCUUCAAGGAGCCAGCAUAUGAACUUGCUGCCUAUCUUUAGCAAGGAGAUGCAAAUGACAUCCACAAACCUCUUCUGCUGUAUACCUGGAUGAAAGCAAGGCUAGCUGUGUGUCCUGUGAGUAAGAAGGAAAGAUGCUUACCUUAGAUCCACCCAUAAUCUUCCCCUACUCCUACACCUCCAGUUGAGAAAGCUGUACUCAUUCUGAACAUCAGCUCAUCCUAGGGGAAUCACAGCUUUCUCCACAGAUACAGAACAAGGUGAAGAGCCCUAGGCUGUUCUAUUCCCUGGACCAAAGAUGAAACUGGGGUGAGGUACCUCUGGGUCACUGUUAAGAAGUAAAAUGUAGAGGCUCUUCAUUGCAGUAGUAUCUUAAGAAUUCCAAAAUCAGGCUACCACCUCUAAACCAGGCAAGAGGACAAUGAGACAAAGUGAUAAGCCUGAAGGGUUAGGAACCAUGAGGAGCUUAUGUCAGGGAGAUUCUGAGAGAAGGAAGGGAGGAGAGACCCAAAGAAACUUCAUGGAGCUAAUGAACAAGCACCCACAGAGGAUUUAUAUACAAUAUCUGCAACCAAGAGAGGGGUAUGCUAAUUUAGAGGAAACCAGAAGGUAGCCAACACCUUCAUUUCACAGCUGGCAGAAGGAAGAAAAAAA
rnacentral:lncRNA from 1 species